GACGUAGGGCGCGAGCGUUGUCCGGAUUUAUUGGGCGUAAAGAGCUCGUAGGCGGCUUGUUGCGUCGACCGUGAAAACCCGUGGCUUAACUGCGGGCUUGCGGUCGAUACGGGCGGGCUGGAGUUCGGUAGGGGAGACUGGAAUUCCUGGUGUAGCGGUGAAAUGCGCAGAUAUCGGGAGGAACACCGGUGGCGAAGGCGGGUCUCUGGGCCGAUACUGACGCUGAGGAGCGAAAGCGUGGGGAGCGAACAGG
rnacentral:rRNA from 1 species